ensembl:lncRNA LINC01445 long intergenic non-protein coding RNA 1445
AAGGAUUUUAAGAACUCUAUCUCAGGAUAAAGACCUGAGGAACCCACAUAGAGGCAUGCUACCUCAGCAUGGGAUUGUGAACAGCCACAGCAAUGGCUUGAUUUAGCAGCCCAAGGAAGACGAAGAGAUAUCUGAAUGGCCUGGACAUGGCAUGUAAAAAUGACUCAGCCAACAGCUGGAAAGAAGCUGCUGGCCUUCAGGUCACAAGAUGUACAUUGCUGGCCUCAGCUGGAUUUUCCCAGGGUCAGGUGCCCAUUCCUACCUAAUCAAAGGUCAUGAGUCCUCACACGUUUUCAAGAGUUUGGAAAAUGAUCUCCCUUGCCAGACUGCCAAUCUUCAAAGGGAGUUCUAUAUGUGGAAGAAAAAGAAAAAAUUUAUGUGCAUUUACCCUGUUUAAUACACUCAUCAUAUAUAGUAUUUUUGCAACAGCAAAAAUAACACUCUUAAUUUAGUAUGUAAUUAUAUAUGUCAUAUACUUAAUAUACAAAAUAUUUUCCUUGCUAACCUAUACGAUUUCAAAUGCCUGGAACAAUAGAUAAUUCAUGUGAUUACUUGAGAGUAUGUAAAUUUUAAUAUGUUAACAUAUACUGGCAAAGUUCUAAAAGUUGCGAUUUUAUGGGAGGCCAAAUUAUGUACAUAUUAGUUUGUCUGAAGACUUGAGCCAAAAGGAAACUAAUACACUUCUGAGCUACAAUAUGGACAUAAUGUCAUGAAGCAGGAACAUUAUGCUCCAUUUCAGGACACUUCUGCUGACCUGCACCUAGAAUACCCUGUUCUGUGCUGAUGACUCAGAUGUAAGAAUGAUGAAGUGCAUCGGCUGGCAUGCAGAGAACAAUAAGAAAAAGAACUGAGUUGUGGGAAGACAUGAGGAAAGGACAUGAGGCUCUUAAUAACAGCUGCCAAGUACUGCAGUCGGGAAUCUGGAGCAAAGUGAUUCAAUUCUGACCACUGCCUGUGAGUAAAUGGGAUUUUAUUUUUCAAUACUUUUGUUUAAUAGUACCUCCUUCAUUACAUGUGAACAGCACUCCAGGACAGUAAAUCAUGAAAUGGGAAUAAAGCCUGUAAUUUUAAUUAACAUAUUUUAAAAUGUUUCUAAUUUGUAUGCAUUUGAUCAAAUUUUCAUUUGCAUUGAGCUAUUUUUUUUCUUUCUCAUGUAAUGUUUGACAUUACCAUUUCUUUCUUUAAUGAAAUACUAAUAUUUAAUAAAAUAUAUUACAUCCUU